rnacentral:lncRNA from 1 species
UAUGACCCUGUGAUUAAUUGAGCGGCUGACCAAUCAUUACCUCCUCCUCCCUGCUCUUUCUACCCAAUAAAUACAAAGGGCUGUGGAAGCUCAAUGGGCUGCCUUUGCUCAUUAGAAGCAGGGAGCUCUCUUCUUCUUCCCCUGGAUCCUUCCUUUAAAAUAGUUUCUUUUGUCUUAAGUUUUCAUUUCUACGUUUGUCCCUUCAUUCAGUCUCUUAAAUGACGGUCUCAAGCAGUAACAGUAGUAAUUGCUGUAAUGACGGUCUCAAGUAGUAACCAGGGCACUCUGCCACAAGUGGCACCUGAACAGGGACUAACAGGGACUAUCAAGAACAAACGGAGACCUGAAGAGACCUGAAGGGAACUGAAGAGGUCUGCAGGGACAAAUAGAGAUAAGUAGGGAUAAAUAGAGAUAAAUAGAGACAAAUAGAGAUAGGUAAGGAAUGACAGGGACUUGCAGGAAGUAACAGGGACCAUAGGGACAGAUAGGGAUAGAUAAAGACUAGCAAAGACUAGCCGAGAUUAGCAAAGACCAGCAAGGACUAGCAGAGACUAGCAAAGACUAGCAGAAACUUGCAGGGACAGGCAGAGACAGAUAGGGACAGAUAGGGUCCUACAGGGACUUGAACGAGGAAGAUCUGCUGGAAAAGAAAAGAACUACAACCAACCAGAUGAACAAGAAACCCUGUUACAAGUCUGCUGGCAGCAACAUAAGGGUAUGCUUGUUUUUGCAGGAAAUGAACAAAAAGUGUGGGUGCCCCCAAGGUGUGUACUACCAUGGAAUGGGAGAUUGGAGGGACACAUGGAUCCCAACCGUGGGCCUGGUUCCCCCAGUAUGAGCUGAAUACGAAGACAGAACAAACCACCAACCGGCAAUUGAAGGAUGAUGCCCAUUCUAUUUCCUAGGAAGGGAUAAGUUUUAAGGCCUUAUAAAAAGUGACACAAAGUGAACCGGGUUCUAUAAAUUACCAUGGAAAGUGGUGAGCCAACGAUUUGGCAGAACAAAACCCUGAGGAUAUGCAAACAAAAGGGACUAUGGAAUUUGCAAUUGCAGAUUAAAAUUGAAGAAGAAAACAUUUGAGUUGCAAAUACCGUAUUAAAAGUGGACACUGCUUAUGACUGCUGUAUGCAACAGUUUUUCAGGCCCGAGAGGAACCCAGACAUGCUCUAUUUGCAAACCGACUGCAUGAAACAAAAAGCACGGUAAUUCUGAAGCUGUUGGCUUGGAUGAAAUGAGAAUGUAAUUAAAAAGAAAAAGGUUAGCAAAAGAACAUGCUGGGAAUUGAAAAUAAAAAUCUGAAAUGAUGUCCCAGCCUGCCCUUAAGGUCUUUUCCACCAUGUAGAGAGCUACCUCAAAUGCUCUACUUGUCCCAGAGUCUAUGUUCUUUCACUACUAUUGCCUAUAUCUGUGUUUUCUGCUUUCAAUAAUCUAUUGAAAUAAUCAAAAUUAAUUACAUUCAGCAUUUUUUCUGUAUUACUCUGAUUCUAAUAAUUACCUCAAAUUUAUUUGUGCAUUUCUAUACUAGAAAGAAAAAAUAAUUUUUAGAGUUUUACUAUAUCUUCCCCUUAAUUCUAAGUUGCUUGUCACUAAUUCCUUUCCCAACACUAUGUUAUUUCCACCAAGAACAUUACCAAUAUCUUCAGGAAAAUUCCACCCCAUAUUUUAAGCCAGAUUGAUUAUUGGGAAUAUAAAUACAUUUAAGAAGGAAAGUCUUUUUGACUGUGUUUCUCCACAGACCAAUAGUAUACAAAACACAGAAGGCUUUUAAGCACAUUUCAUAGGGAUCACUGACUUAGAACAGAAGGAACCAUUUCGUGAAACACUCUCAUUUUGCACAUAAAGGAGCUGUGGCCCACAGAGGAAUAUGAUUUACUGAGAGUGACCCAGUUAGUGGCCAUAAACCAAAAGCCCCAAGAUGCUAAAUGUUUGUUAUGAAGAGUAAAAAUCCUCCCAGUUUAUAAGAAGUAACUUCAUCCUUCCAUUUUCUAUUUCCACGAUGACUCCCCUGGCUUAAAUUUUAAUCUCUAUUUUGGAUGACUCCAAAAUCUCAUUCUUCUAAAUUAAUUAUCUAAUACCACAAUGUUGCACUUAUCUUCCUACAAAUCUACUUUCAUCUGCCUUGACAAAGCCAACCCUAAUUUUCUCUAGUCCUCAUUAGAAAUUAUUGCAACAAAAAUUCACAUCCAGUCUGAAGUUUGGGAGCCAGAAAAGAAUUUUCCCAUUAAGAUGAGACAGUAUCAAUUAUUAAGCAGAGGAAGACACAAGAGGGAAAGCAGCUUUCACAUGAAAAAAAAAGAACUCUGAUUUUCUGACACAUUUUGUCAUUGCAGUCAAACUUUCAGAGUUAGAACUAGAGACCUAGAUAUUAGCUAACCCAGCAUUUUCCAAGUAUUCCUCGGAACUCUAGAGGCACAGCAUAGUACUGGUAAUGAUUUUGUGGCAGGAUAGAUUAAGGAAACCUCACAGUUAUACCAAGUUAAAUUCAUUUAUUUCAUGUAAAAUUCUGAUAGCCUUUUAUGCUACUAGGCCUAGUGAUACUCCAAAAUUAUUGGCCAUAUAUCUGAAAUUUAUUUCAGCAAGAAACCCUUUAAAGAGCAUCCCGCAGAGUUAGUGUUUUGAGGGAUAUCAUUGGGGAAAAUGCUGAUCUAGACCAAUUCAACAAAUUGUAACUUAGUUAACACCAGAGUCAAAACAAAAACCAAGUCUACUCAUGUCUGUCUUAGGCCCUUUUGGUCACAAAAACACGUUCAAACCACUUCAAUUAAGAAAAUGGUGAGAGGGGAAAAGACAAGCAGGGAACCUUAUCCCAGGUGGGCUGAUCACAGGACUUCCAAGGCUGUCCCUUAGAAGAGUCACGAUAAUGGCAUCUCUAGCACAAAACUCAAAUUUAGUUUUAAUUCUUAGUCGAAUAAUAAUACAGUAAAAUUUAUUGCAUGCAUAAGGAUAAUACAUUAAAACUACUUAAAUUACAUUUUAGGGCCGGGCGCGGUGGCUCACGCCUGUAAUCCCAGCACUUUGGGAGGCCGAGGCGGGUGGAUCACGAGGUCAGGA